GCCAAAUGUGUGACUUUUCAGGCUUACUUCCCAGGUCACUGUAAGAAGGUAGGAUGGGAUUCCCUACUAUUUGGGCAGUGUUAAGCUUAGAGUGUAAGUUCUGGGUCUCAUUAUCAGCUCUCUUGGCCAGUUGAAUACUCAACAAGAUCUCUCUCUCCCUCUCUCUCCCUCCCCCUCCCCCUCUCCCUUUCCCUCCCUCUCUCCUUACCCCUCUCCCUCCCCCCUCUCCCUCCCCUCUCUCUUCCUCUCCUUCCCCUCUCUUUCCCUCUCCCUCUCUCUCUUUCUCUGUCUGUCUCUCCCUCUCUUUCCUUCUAUCUCUUCUUUCUUUCUUCCCCCCUCCCCUCUCUCCUCCCCUUCUCUCCACCCUGUAAGUGAAUGAAAUGUGAUCUUUCUGCUUUCUGUAGCUGCCUCUGUAAUUCCCCUGCUUUUGUGGACUCCUUCCCUCUGGACUGUAAGCUAGCAUAAACCCUUUCUUCCUUAAGCUCAUAAGAUGAAGUCCAGCCAUGCCGUGAGUCACAGAAACAACUUGCUGUGCUACACACUCAACCUAACUCCACUCCUCAGAGCCUCGGCACCCGAAUGCUCCAGAGAGCCAUCUCCCAUGGUCCCUUGUUGGGAAUCUCGCUUCAGAGGAGAAAGGGGCCACUAACCUCAGGCCUGCCUGCAGGUACCACACCACGGUGAGGAACAAAAACACCUAACUACCCUGGGCUCUUCAGUACCCCGGAAACCUACCACCCAGGGCUCCUAGGCACAUCUUGAAGCAUUUUGACUAUCAAGAAGGAUCUGCAUGCAAAUUUCAGAAUCCAUCUGUCAGUUCUCUUUGCAGAGAGUGUUGGAGCAAUGUCACGGAAGGAAAUCCAGAGAGACAGGGUAAUGGGCCUGGGUGACUGCUAAUGGGACCUUUGAGUCUCUGGGCUGUCAACUCUGCUUCCCCUAAGCACACAUUUGGAGUUCAAGUUCAGCAAGGUGGACUUGUGUUCUGAUUUGUUGAUUUUCAAGAGAAAAAGAAAAUGAAAUCAAUUUUCUCUUGGAGGCUUUGUAUCUCAGGAAAACCAAUAGUUUAACCAUUCAUGUAUUCGGUGAGGGCAAGGGUUGUUUUCAAACACUAGAUU
rnacentral:lncRNA from 1 species